rnacentral:rRNA from 1 species
CGUCAAAUCAGCACGGCCCUUACGUCCGGGGCGACACACGUGUUACAAUGGAAGGUACAGAGGGCUGCUACACAGUAAUGUGAUGCUAAUCUCGAAAACCUUUCUCAGUUCGGAUUGGAGUCUGCAACUCGACUCCAUGAAGUUGGAUUCGCUAGUAAUCGCGCAUCAGCCAUGGCGCGGUGAAUACGUUCCCGGGCCUU